GAUGAACGCUGGCGGCGUGCCUAAUACAUGCAAGUCGAGCGAACGGACGAGAAGCUUGCUUCUCUGAUGUUAGCGGCGGACGGGUGAGUAACACGUGGAUAACCUACCUAUAAGACUGGGAUAACUUCGGGAAACCUGAGCUAAUACCGGAUAAUAUUUUGAACCGCAUGGUUCAAAAGUGAAAGACGGUCUUGCUGUCACUUAUAGAUGGAUCCGCGCUGCAUUAGCUAGUUGGUAAGGUAACGGCUUACCAAGGCAACGAUGCAUAGCCGACCUGAGAGGGUGAUCGGCCACACUGGAACUGAGACACGGUCCAGACUCCUACGGGAGGCAGCAGUAGGGAAUCUUGCGCAAUGGGCGAAAGCCUGACGGAGCAACGCCGCGUGAGUGAUGAAGGUCUUCGGAUCGUAAAACUCUGUUAUUAGGGAAGAACAUAUGUGUAAGUAACUGUGCACAUCUUGACGGUACCUAAUCAGAAAGCCACGGCUAACUACGUG
rnacentral:rRNA from 1 species